CGCUAUACAGGUGGUGCAUGGUUGUCGUCAGCUCGUGUCGUGAGAUGUUGGGUUAAGUCCCGCAACGAGCGCAACCCUCGUUCUGUGUUGCCAGCAUUUAGUUGGGGACUCACAGGAGACUGCCGUGGUUAACACGGAGGAAGGUGGGGAUGACGUCAAAUCAUCAUGCCCCUUAUGUCUUGGGCUGCACGCAUGCUACAAUGGCCGAUACAAAGGGCUGCAAUACCGUGAGGUGGAGCGAAUCCCAUAAAGUCGGUCUCAGUUCGGAUUGAGGUCUGCAACUCGACCUCAUGAAGUCGGAGUUGCUAGUAAUCGUAGAUCAGCAACGCUACGGUGAAUACGUUCCCGGGUCUUGUACACACCGCCCGUCACGUCACGAAAGUCGGUAACACCCAAAGUCAGUGGCCCAA
rnacentral:rRNA from 1 species